rnacentral:rRNA from 1 species
GACUACAGGGGUAUCUAAUCCUGUUUGCUCCCCACGCUUUCGUAUCUUAGCGUCAGAAACUGUCUAGUGAGCCGCCUACGCCGCUGGUGUUCCUCCCGAUAUCUACGUAUUUUACCACUACACCGGGAAUUCCGCUCACCUCUCCAGUCCUCAAGCCUGACAGUAUCGCGUGCGAACCCAGCGUUGAGCGCUGGACUUUGACACGCGACUUGUCAGGCCGCCUACAUACCCUUUACACCCAGUAAUUCCGAAUAACGCUCGCCCCCUACGUAUUACCGCAGCUGCUGGCACGUAGUUGGCUGGGGCUUAUUCCAGGGAUAGUCAGACUCCAGGCUAUGUUAGAGCCGGAGCUUUAAUGUCCCUGAAAAGAGUUUUACGAUCUUACGACCUUCAUCACUCACGCGGCGUCGCAGGUUCAGGCUUUCGCCCAUUGACCAAGAUUCCCCACUGCAGCCUCCCGUAGG